rnacentral:rRNA from 1 species
AGUGGAUGGGGAGCAACCUAGUUGUGCGUGUGUAAAGGUAGUGCCAAGAAAAGCGAUGAUCAUGUUGAAAAUCAAUUCCCGGUACCCGAAACCGACACAGGUGGGCAAGUAGAGAAUACUAAGGGGCGCGAGGUAACUCUCUCCAAGGAACUCGGCAAAAUGACCCCGUGACUUAGGGAGAAGGGGUGCCACCGAGAGGUGGUCGCAGUGAAGAGGCCCAGGCGACUGUUUAGCAAAAACAUAGGUCUCUGCAAACUCGAAAGAGGAGGUAUAGGGGCUGACGCCUGCCCAGUGCCGGAAGGUUAAAGAAGUUGGUCAGUUUUAGGAUGAAGCUAGCGACUGAAGCCCCGGUGAACGGCGGCCGUAACUAUAACGGUCCUAAGGUAGCGAAAUUCCUUGUCGGGUAAGUUCCGACCCGCACGAAAGGCGUAACGAUCUGGGCGCUGUCUCGGAGAGAGGCUCGGCGAAAUAGGAUUGUCUGUGAAGAUACGGACUACCUGCAUUUGGACAGAAAGACCCUACGAAGCUUUACUAUAGCUUGGAAUUGUGUUCGGGCUUCCUGUGCGCAGGAUAGGUGGGAGGCGUAGAAGGUAUUCUUGUGGGGAUACUGGAGCCAACGGUGAGAUACCACUCUCAGGAGGCUAGAAUUCUAACUUAAUUAAGGACAGUUUCAGGUGGGUAGUUUGACUGGGGCGGUCGCCUCCAAAAAGGUAACGGAGGCGUACAAAGGUUCCCUCAGACUGGUUGGAAAUCAGUCGAAGAGUGCAAAGGCAGAAGGGAGCUUGACUGCGAGAAGUACAGUUCGAGCAGGGUGGAAACACGGUCUUAGUGAUCCGACGGUGCUGUGUGGAAGGGCCGUCGCUCAACGGAUAAAAGUUACUCUAGGAUAACAGGCUGAUCUCCCCCAAGAGUUCACAUCGACGGGGAGGUUUGGCACCUCGAUGUCGGCUCAUCGCAACCUGGGGCGGAAGUACGUCCCAAGGGUUGGGCUGUUCGCCCAUUAAAGCGGUACGUGAGCUGGGUUCAGAACGUCGUGAGACAGUUCGGUCCAUAUCCGAUGUAGGCGUGAGAAUAUUGAGAGGAGCCUUCCUUAGUACGAGAGGACCGGGAAGGACGCACCGCUGGUGUACCUGUUAUGAUGCCAAUUGUAAACGCAGGGUAGCCAAGUGCGGAGAGGAUAACCGCUGAAAGCAUCUAAGUGGGAAGCCCACCUCAAGAUGAGUAUUCUGGUGUAAGGUCACGGGAAGACGACCCGUAAAUAGGCACGAGGUGGAAGUGCAGAGAUGUAUGAAGCCGAAGUGUACUAAUAGACCGUCGGCUUGACCG